UACAAGCGAAUGAGUCAUUCAUCCUAAGUC
rnacentral:misc_RNA from 1 species